GACAGAGGGUGCAAACGUUGUUCGGAAUUACUGGGCGUAAAGCGUGUGUAGGCGGCUACGUAAGUCGGAUGUGAAAGCCCCAGGCUCAACCUGGGAAGUGCACUCGAUACUGCGUAGCUUGAGUAUCGGAGAGGUUGGUGGAAUUCUCGGUGUAGAGGUGAAAUUCGUAGAUAUCGAGAGGAACACCGGUGGCGAAGGCGGCCAACUGGACGAAUACUGACACUGAGUGAGCGAAAGCCAGGGGAGCAAACGGG
rnacentral:rRNA from 1 species